rnacentral:rRNA from 1 species
AUUGAACGCUGGCGGCAUGCCUUACACAUGCAAGUCGAACGGUAGAGGGGCAACCCUUGAGAGUGGCGAACGGGUGAGUAAUAUAUCGGAACGUGCCCAGUCGUGGGGGAUAACGUAGAGAAAUUUACGCUAAUACCGCAUACGAUCUAAGGAUGAAAGCGGGGGACUCGCAAGGGCCUCGCGCGAUUGGAGCGGCUGAUAUCAGAUUAGGUUGUUGGUGAGGUAAAAGCUCACCAAGCCGACGAUCUGUAGCUGGUUUGAGAGAACGACCAGCCACACUGGGACUGAGACACGGCCCAGACUCCUACGGGAGGCAGCAGUGGGGAAUUUUGGACAAUGGGCGAAAGCCUGAUCCAGCAAUGCCGCGUGCAGGAAGAAGGCCUUCGGGUUGUAAACUGCUUUUGUACGGAACGAAACGGCUCGCUUUAAUACAAGGGGCUCAUGACGGUACCGUAAGAAUAAGCACCGGCUAACUACGUGCCAGCCGCCGCCGUAAAAC